rnacentral:misc_RNA from 1 species
CGCAUCUUGCGCUCCUUGGUAUUCCGAGGAGCACGCCUGUUCGAGUGUCGUGAAUACCUCAAUCUACAAUCUUUUUUUGUGGACUGGAUUUGGACUUUUGCCGUUGUCAAAACGGCUGGUCUUAAACGUAUUAGCUGACCCACGCUUUGCGUGCUUGGUUCUUACUCGGCGUGAUAAUUAUCUGACCGCCGAGGACAUUUGCCUCUGGUGAAUGGCCAAGUGUGCCUUGGAUCGCUUCCAACCCCCCUUCAUUGGGAACACACACUUUUCAAAUUUGACCUCGAAUCAGGCGGGACUACCCGCUGAACUUAA